rnacentral:rRNA from 1 species
UACGUAGGUGGCAAGCGUUGUCCGGAUUUACUGGGCGUAAAGAGCGCGCAGGCGGUCGGCCAAGUCGAGUGUGAAAGCCCCCGGCUCAACUGGGGAGGGUCAUUCGAUACUGGUCGACUCGAAGGCAGGAGAGGGAAGCGGAAUUCCCGGUGUAGUGGUGAAAUGCGUAGAUAUCGGGAGGAACACCAGUGGCGAAGGCGGCUUCCUGGCCUGUUCUUGACGCUGAGGCGCGAAAGCUAGGGGAGCAAACAGG